CCCCGCCUCCCCUUCCCUGCCGCCCCUCUGCCCCAGAUCCCCCCCUCACUCCACCUCUACCCCCACGGCCCCACCUCUUCCCAGCCCUGCCCCCUCCCUGCCUCUUCCCUCCCCCGAGAGCACCCCAUUCCAGCUCCUCCCCCUCCCUCCCAGAGCCUCCUGCAUGCCGCUGAACAGCUGUUCCACAGCAUGGAGGAGCUGGGAGGGAGGGGGAGGAGUUGAUCAGCAGGGCCGCUAGCGGGCGGAUGGACGGCACUGGCAGGGGGAAGCUUGGCUGCUUGUGGGUGCUAAGCCCUGGAGCACCCACAGAGUCGGCCUGUAUGGAUCUUGGGAUCAACCUUGCAGUCUGCAGUGAGGUGAGCUUCUGCUUCUGCCAGCCCCUGCCUCUCAGUGCUCCCUCGCUACUCUUACCUGAGUGUCCUGGGGGUCUGAGGCAUUUACUUUGAAAAAAUUACAGUGUUCAGAGCAAGCCAGUAGCCAGAAUACCCCAGCUAGGGAUAACGGAGCAGGACUUCAGUUCUAUUGUGCUAGGUUUUGGACGGGGGCCAUAAUUAAGGGAGAUGGCCAGGGGCAAUUAUCUUGUGUCAAUGGAGGUGAAAUGCUUGGACCAGCACAACACAAACCAAAGAGAAAACAUUUGCCAAGAAUAUUUUAAUUAAUCAAGAACAAAAGUCGGAGGACAAAGAUGUUAAAAUACCACUGUAGUUCCACCUAUAAAUGGUUCUGACUGGCAAUCCAGUGGCAUUAUUCCAAUGACCUACCGGGCAGCUUAUGGGAAGCCAGAGUCUUUGGGUUCUGGGGAAAGGAUGGUUGCAAAGCUGAAACUUAAAGUAAAUGAUCAAAGGACACCACCAGGAGUGCAGCCUACAGCCUAAUUUGACUCAUCACAGGAAACCUCCCCGAAUCCAGAGCUGGAAAGGAUUGUCAGAUUAAUAGCUCUUUCUUGUUCCAGCAGGUGCUGGUGGAUGGCUGUUCUUAGUUGGUGGAGUGACUUGGCUGGUUAAUUCGGAUAAUGAACGAGACUCUGGCAUGCUAACUAGUUCUGCGAUCUCUGAGCAGCCAGCUUCCAACUUCUGAGUGGGACAAGUGGGGUUCAGCCACCCAAGGCUGAGCAAUAUCAGGUCUGGGAUGCCCUUAGCUGUCCCGGGUUGCAUGCGCACCACAGAGGCUAGCCUAGGCUGUGUCUACCCUAGGCUGAAAGGUGUAGGUAACUUACUGAACUGCGUUCACGAUGGGGAUUGGGGAUUGCAAUUAUUCCCCAUGAAUGAGGCAUUUCUGGUAGGUGCAGAUCAUAAGCUAGCGUUACGUCCCUGCUCGUUGUACACACCACUCGUCACUGCUACCGACUGAAGGGUUUAGUAAGGUCCUUAGAUCGGCCCUGCUGGGCUUGGUCAAUGCCCCUGGCGGAGCGCCGAGAAGACGGUCGAACUUGACUAUCUAGAGGAAGUAAAAGUCAUUAAAAUGUUUCCAAAGGUGAAGCUGCAGCAGGAUGAUUC
rnacentral:ncRNA from 1 species